UUGCCUUUGUAAUUUUGUAAAUGUAUACAUGUAAAUAUUUGUAAAUGGAUAUAUUUGUGUUUUGUCAAUGUAUAUUGAUGCAAUGACUGUCUGUGCUAUGAGUGCGUAUGAGUGUGUAUGAGUAUGUGUGUAAUGUCAGUGACCCUCAGGGUGAUCACCUUUAUCUGCAUGUUGCCUUUAGAUGAGAUUAGGGCUUAGUGAUUGGCAUGAUAUCUGUUAAUUUACUGGUGGUUAAUCUGGGUUCACUCUGGUGGUGUAGGCUUCACCCAUGCUGUCCCUAUGAUUGACUGACUGUGGUAAGAUCAGUCAAUUACACAGGUAAGACUCCAGUGUAUUUCCUGCCCCGGGUCGGUUGGUGCUGGAUCUGUACAAGCUGAGGAAAUUGAGUAGGAAGAUCUUCUCGUCCACAGGAUGUCUUCAGGAUUCUUUUGGACCGGUUGACCAAGUAUGGAGAAGAUGGAUCCUGGUUAAAGGGACCUGAGGUGAGCGCAAGGACUGUCCAUUCACACCCCAGACCAAAGUUCUUACCUGACCUGGGGCGGACCACAGUGAGCUGAAGAGGACUAAAUAUGUUGGAGUGGAUCUGGAGGCCACCACCAUGAAAGGCUGAAGACUCCCUGUGAAGAACGCCCUUUAAAAUGUCAGUAGACUUUCGAAGAUCCUUCAUCCUGGUCAGAUCAAGACUGCCUGCAGCCAAGAUGAUCCAGACCUGACUUCUAUCUACUGUUGAGAUUGGUCAUCAUAAAGCUCUUCAACACAGUAAGGAGCGUCUGUUCUUUCUUGUACUACCUGAGGAAAUUGAGUAGGAAGAUCUUCUCGUCCACAGGAUGUCUUCAGGAUUCUUUUGGACCGGUUGACCAAGUAUGGAGAAGAUGGAUCCUGGUUAAAGGGACCUGAGGUGAGCGCAAGGACUGUCCAUUCACACCCCAGACCAAAGUUCUUACCUGACCUGGGAUGGACCACAGUGAGCUGAAGAGGACUAAAUAUGUUGGAGGGGAUCUGGAGGCCACCACCAUGAAAGGCUGAAGACUCCCUGUGAAGAACGCCCUUUAAAAUACUUUGGAAGAUCCUGCACCUGGUCGGAUCAAGACUGCCUGCAGCCAAGAUGAUCCAGACCUGACUUCUUUCUACUGUUGAGGUCCUAGCCCCCGACUGCCCAGGCCCACCACUGCUGAGAAGGAGACAGGAGUCCGCUCGGCUGUCUGUUUUUAUUUUAUUAUUUUUUUGUUUGCUUUGUAUUUGUUAUUUAUUUAUUUGUAUUUUUUUAGUAAGGUUGACCAUUUACAGAUCAGCAUGGUAUUUCAUGGAUAGUCUAAGAUUUGGUCUUUGGUCACUGAGGACAUGAGCUACAGCCUUGAUUUUAGAUUUUAUUGCUUUAGUUUACAAUCAGUCAGAGUUUAAUGAGCUGGAUUUCUGUCAUACUACUAACCACUACACUCCUGUCCUAACCCUUUUUCUUCUUCUUCUUCUUCUUCUUCUUCUUGGUGCUUAAAAAUCCAGUCACGAACUCUUACUGAGUGCUGUACCAUGGAUGCCUUUUCCAAAAUCAGACCUGGAUCCAUCUGUUUUUGUGAUCUGGUUCAUCCAUGGUACAACAUUAUCCUCUAAAAAUGCUACCAUCAUCAGAAUGAAUGAUGACUUGGUUUAUUAUCAAGCGCUUGUAGUUAUUUCGUUAGUGUUCCUUAGGCCAACUCAAGGACUUUCCAUGAGAACCCAUGCUGAUGUAAUUGAUGGUUGCCUUGUUUGUUUUAGUUUUGGGGGUGGAGCUCCACAGUAGUCCUGCUUUGUUUGGUUUAUUUUUUUUUUUUGCAUAGGCCUAUAUUUACACUUUUUAUGUUUUGAAACAUGUUCCCAUUACAAAGUUUUCUAUAAAUGUUUAACUCAAAAUAAAAGUGUUUCUCCAACAAGACUUUCUUCAGGUUGAGUUCCUCACACACAUUAAGGAAACUUUAAGAAAAAAAAGCUCCCCUUUUUCAGUUGGAUUUAAAUCUGGUUCUUUUAGCAGGAGCCAAUUAUUUUCCUUUCUGAAAGGUGGCUACCCUCCCCACCAACCAGGUAAAACACAAGUGAAUCAAG